GCCGAUGUGGUGGAAUUGGCAGACGCAACGGACUCAAAAUCCGUCGGUAGCAAUACCGUGCGGGUUCGAUUCCCGCCAUCGGCA
rnacentral:tRNA from 1 species